rnacentral:lncRNA from 1 species
GCAGUGAUGUCACAAGCUUGUGCUUCAGGAAGGCAGGUUCCAGGCUGUUCAAAAGUAAGAAGACCCUUCUGAUGCCCAAGACAAACUCUUAACCCAUAAAAUCAAACAGCAAAUGACAUAAUCCCAACAUGCAACCUCGCACAGUAAAUCUUCCCUUUGGGAGGAACAGGAGGAUAGCAAGGAAAAAACCACACCAAAGCAAGACCAAACCCUAGCAGGACAGA